rnacentral:lncRNA from 1 species
UGGUAAUGACCGAGCUCCUUUAUCUCAUGUCGGUAUUCCACCGAUCAACCACUAUGGCAACAAUCACUCUGUGGAAGUCCCCCGCGGCCUCCACAGCUAGGCCAUGAUCCUGCAUACAGCUGGCUUUGAUCUUAUAUACAGUUAGUCGAUACAGCUAAGUAUGAUCUCAUUUUCAGUUGGUAUGUACAACUGUAUUCCAG